AGUGAACGCUGGCGGUAGGCCUAACACAUGCAAGUCGAACGGCAGCACAGGAGAGCUUGCUCUCUGGGUGGCGAGUGGCGGACGGGUGAGGAAUACAUCGGAAUCUACUCUGUCGUGGGGGAUAACGUAGGGAAACUUACGCUAAUACCGCGUACGACCUACGGGUGAAAGCAGGGGACCUUCGGGCCUUGCGCGAUUGAAUGAGCCGAUGUCGGAUUAGCUAGUUGGCGGGGUAAAGGCCCACCAAGGCGACGAUCCGUAGCUGGUCUGAGAGGAGGAUAAGCCACACUGGAACUGAGACACGGUCCAGACUCCUACGGGAGGCAGCAGUGGGGAAUAUUGGACAAUGGGCGCAAGCCUGAUCCAGCCAUACCGCGUGGGUGAAGAAGGCCUUCGGGUUGUAAAGCCCUUUUGUUGGGAAAGAAAUCCAGCUGGCUGAUACCCGGUUGGGAUGACGGUACCCAAAGAAUAAGCACCGGCUAACUUCGUGCCAGCCGCCGCAGUAA
rnacentral:rRNA from 1 species